GAUGAACGCUGACAGAAUGCUUAACACAUGCAAGUCUUUGGCGAAGCUGUGCUUGCACAGCCUAGCCAAGGCGGACGGGUGAGUAACGCGUAAGGAACUUGCCCUGCAGUCAGGGAUAACAGACGGAAACGACUGAUAAGACCUGGUAAAGUCAGGCGGACUCAUGUCCAGCCUGAUGAAAAGAGAUGCUGCUGGAGAGCCUUGCGUCCUAUUAGCUUGUUGGUGGGGUAACGGCCCACCAAGGCGAUGAUAGGUAGCCGGCCUGAGAGGGUGGACGGCCACAAGGGGACUGAGAUACGGCCCUUACUCCUACGGGAGGCAGCAGUGGGGAAUAUUGGACAAUGGGGGCAACCCUGAUCCAGCAAUUCUGUGUGCACGAUGAAGGUUUUCGGAUUGUAAAGUGCUUUCAGCAGGGAAGAAAAAAAUGACGGUACCUGCAGAAGAAGCGACGGCUAAAUACGUG
rnacentral:rRNA from 1 species